rnacentral:lncRNA from 1 species
GAACCCAGAGAUGCAGAUGCCCCACUCACUCCGAUAGAGAAUCAACCCCAUCCCACAUAAAAUAGAACCCAGAGAUGCAGAUGCACCACUCACUCAGAUAGAGAAUCAACCCCACAUAAACUAGAACCCAGAGAUGCAGAUGCCCCAUUCACUCAGAUAAUCAACCCCACAUACAACAGGACCCAGAGAUGCAGAUGCUCCACUCACUCAGAUAGAGAAUCAACUCCACAUACAACAGGACCCAGAGAUGCAAACACCCCACUCACUCAGACAGAGAAUCAACCCCACAUAAACUAGAACCCAGAGAUGCAGAUGCCCCACUCACUCAGAGAAUCAACCCCACAUACAACAGAACCCAGAGAUGCAGAUGCCCCAC